rnacentral:lncRNA from 1 species
AUGCUCAGAAAGAUUCUUGUCAUGUGCCCAGUGCUGGAGCAUAAGUGGAUAGAGCCCAGCGCUGUCCCUCCACCCCCACGCUCACAGUGGCAGUCGCAUGAACAUCAAUGUGAUUCCCAGAGGAUGUGGACUGUCAGAGAAGCAGGAGGAGUAGUGAGACCAGCACAGGAGGGCCCAGGCCUGGGAGGACAGACAGACAGACCUAUCAUCCAGAAGGAUGAGCCAGUGGAACUGGAAGACUGGCUACACCUCAAAGGGCCCCAGAGUCUUCUCCCUGAUGGUCCUGCUCAGAUACCUGAUGUGCCUUGAAUGAAAAUGGCCAGUUUGAACUGGAGAGAGAGAGAGAAUGCCCAGCUGCUUCCUGAUCUUGCUGCCGUCCCUUCCCCUCUGUGGUGCCUGGGGUCUCCUGGAGCCAUGAACUAAAGUAAAUCUGUUCUUUCGAAAGCUGCUUUUGUCUGUGUUUUGUCCCAACAAUGAUAAAAGUAAUUGAUACAAGUCCAUUAGCCAGGCAUGGGGCACACACCUUUAAUCCUAGCACUUAGAAAGCAAAGAGGCAGGUGGAUCUCUCUGAGUUCCAGGUCAGCCUGGUCUACAUAGGAAGUUAUAGGACAACCUGUUAUUAACGCGUUCUCUCGCACCCGGCCAGGAAGAACACAGCAAACCAGAAUCUUCUGCGGCAAAACUUUAUUGCUUACAUCUUCAGGAGCAAGAGUGUAAGAAGCAAGAGAGAGAGAGAGCGAAACCCCGUCCCUAUUAAGGAGAAUAAUCCUUCGCCUAGGACGUGUCACUCCCUGAUUGGCUGCAGCCCAUCGGCCGAGUUGACGUCACGGGGAAGGCAGAGCACAUGGAGUGGGGAACCACCCUCGGCACAUGCGCAGAUUAUCUGUCUACCACCUAGAACACAGCUGUCAGCGCCAUCUUGUAACGGCGAAUGUGGGCGCGGCUUCCCACAGUUCCCCCUUUUCUAUUAAUAAGAGCAAUAGGCCACCCAUAUUAAUGAGAGUGGAGAUAGAGGUCAAAUCCCCAGUGUGCAGGUAAAGGAGCCGUACACAUAACCUCCUUCCAGGCUCAUCACCUAGAGGGGUCCUGGUCUGGUCCCGUGUUGUUUUUCCUGGGGGAAGGACACUUGAACACUCAACCUUCUUGAAAGAUGACAUGUCUCCCUAGAAUAGGCUCAUAUGUGCCGCAGAGCCCUUCUACUGCAGUGCUUAGCCGUGCAACUCUCUCGGGCUGCUGAAGCACACUCACUCUAUCCCGUGCAAUGAGGUGCAAGAGCUGAAUGGCCAGCGACCUAUUGCUUAAGCAUAGA